UCUUCAGUCGAUCAAAAGGGCUCCAAGAAUCGAUAGAGUCGCCUUCUUCCCUUCAAUCGAUCGGGAACGAGUAAGAAGAAGGGAUAGCAACGAAGCAGCCCCGAUGGGCAUCGGCUGUGGGUAAAUCAGAGAUGCUAAUUCGGUUUUCAUGUGAUUUGAAGAAAUAAGAAAGUGACGUUGGUGGUUCUUGGUCCGGUGGUGGCUCUUGGUCCGGUGGUGGCAAUUUCGUCAAGGGGAGCAUCGUCGGUGGUCGACGAGGCCGAAGUGGAGGGAGGGAGAAGCAGCGAUCGUUCGUCGUUCGGCUUCGCAAACCGAUGUGGUCUCCUGGGUUCGACGGGCCGAAGGGAAGAACGGGAUGCGGUAGGGCAUCAGCGAGGGUCGAUGGGGUCCGAAGAGAUGGAGAGCGUGAAGAAGCAGCGAAGUCUUCCUCGUCUCUUCCGGCUGCGCGGUGUGAGUUCAGGACACUGCAAACAGCGGUAGCAGUGAAGACAGGACCAUUUGACCCUAAAGCAAUCCAAUGAAAUGCAAUGCGUUGGAAAGAAGGAGGAUUGAGAUGGGUUUUUGGGUUUGCUUGUUUGACAAAAAUCGAUGGGGAUGAUUGAAGGCAGUGAAAGCUUUUAUUUCACAUUUAAACUUGUGAUUGUAUAAAAAAAUCUGAUCCUUGGACUUAGUUUGAUUUGAUUUUAAGUUGAGUUUGAGUGUGGACUUGGGUUGAAGAAAUUGUGCACGUUAAAUUGUCAUGUGCAGGGUAUUUAUUAUUUAUUUAUUUUUUUUGAAUCUAUCAUCAGAUUUUGGAAAGCUUUGUGAGUGUUGAAAGUAUUUUGGUUAAAAAAAACUAAAAGCAAUGUCAUUAGAUAUGUUUUUGAGAAAGGGUGUGGGAAAAGUUUGUAAAGGUACAAUUUAUUUAGAAAAUGUAUAUGAUUGAAUUUGGGUAUGUAUUGAUGUA